rnacentral:rRNA from 1 species
UACAGAGGUCUCAAGCGUUGUUCGGAUUCAUCGGGCGUAAAGGGUGUGUAGGUGGCGCGCUAAGUCGGGUGUGAAAUUUCGGAGCUUAACUCCGAAACUGCAUUCGAUACUGGCGUGCUUGAGGACUGGAGAGGAGACUGGAAUUCAUGGUGUAGCAGUGAAAUGCGUAGAGAUCAUGAGGAAGACCAGUGGCGAAGGCGGGUCUCUGGACAGUUCCUGACACUGAGACACGAAGGCCAGGGGAGCAAACGGG